GAAACAUAUUGUGAAAUUUAACAUUUGGUGAUUUCUUGCCACCAUAAUACUGUUCUAGGUUUGGCUUGAGGUCAAGUCUCAAGGUCUUAGUGCUACUUGUGAUCCCCCUGAUUAAAUCCGAAAGGUUAUGGAUCACCAACAUGCGAGAGUUAUUGUAUGGGGCCAUACAUGUAAGAGGCUUAUGACUCAGUAAUAAGGUUAUUAGCAUAUGAACUUGGUAAAAUUUGGAUUUCAAGAUUAUCCUUGCUUCACAAAAGCACAAUGUCACGGAUAAACGAUUGCAAAUAGUCCCAAAUAUGUAAGCACUGUGAUUUUUGAAUAAUGAUUUUACUAAAAUAUAAGACCUGUCAUCUUUU
rnacentral:misc_RNA from 1 species